ACGGAGGAUGCGAGCGUUAUCCGGAUUUAUUGGGUUUAAAGGGUGCGUAGGCGGUUUAUUAAGUUAGUGGUUAAAUAUUUGAGCUAAACUCAAUUGUGCCAUUAAUACUGGUAAACUGGAGUACAGACGAGGUAGGCGGAAUAAGUUAAGUAGCGGUGAAAUGCAUAGAUAUAACUUAGAACUCCGAUAGCGAAGGCAGCUUACCAGACUGAAACUGACGCUGAUGCACGAGAGCGUGGGUAGCGAACAG
rnacentral:rRNA from 1 species